CAUUUCCAUAUAUAUCAACUGCUCAGUGGAAAAUCGAAUGAUUUCUGUUGGGAGGAUAAAGGACUUUACAAUAUUGACCUUAGAGACUCCAGGGGACUCAUUAACUGCCAGUCUGUACUUGCUGUCAUCCUAGCAAAAACAGCAGUUUCAGCCCAUUUUACUUAUUAUUGAAAAUGAACCGAUGACUUACUACUUACUAUUCAAGGGGAGA